rnacentral:misc_RNA from 1 species
AUUAUUAAUUUGCAACUUCUAACUCGUAAUAAAUCAGUUCAAGAAUCUGCGCCAAGAGUAAUCAGCGUUGAAAAGUCCUUAAACUAUUUCAAUGGAAUCUGCCCAAACACUGAAUCAGUUUUUACGGCGUAUAGCUGAUUCACCUGAUAUAUUUAGCGCUAAUGCACCAAGCGUCCAUGCAAGUGUGUUGAGAGCCCCGUGCGAAUACUACAUUGUUAAACUAAUUUCAUUUGCAAUGAAUUAUAUUGCACGAUAAGUUGACUAUUGGCGCAGCAGAUAGCAGCCGAUUAAAGGCUGGAGGCUUGUUUAAAUAUAGCUAGGUGGUCGAUGAUAGCCAGACAGAUAAGUAUGCUUUAUCUAUUUAUCUGCUUCAGCAAAAUCGCUGGAUUGAGAUUAGGAUAUUAUUGCUGCAACCUUGAUGUCACCGAACCGUUGAUAAUACGAAUACUCUAGAGUAAUUAUUAUGGGUGGUGAAUACCGUGAUAGACCGGUCUGACUAAAACGACUUUCUAACAAUAACUUUUAAUUUUAUGAUUUUCAAAACGUGGACAAGCCACUGGAGCUUAAUCGCGUAGAAAUAGAUGAUUUCAAAACCAACGACGCGCAAUAAUUUUCGCGCUCUCCGCACUACAAUUCUAUCCAUGUGAUUAUAAAGCGUUGCGACUGAAAGUAGUGCCUCAUUGACAGCUAGGUCAAGGAUGUUUGUGAAUACUAUGGUAGUUUCAAUGUUACAACCAACCUCGAGUGAGUUAAAAAUUCAAUUUUAGUCUCUUUAAUGACAAAACAUUCCGAUGUGCGUCCCAGGAAUAUUCAAUGGCUACUACAAAGUGGAUAAAAAGCACGUGGAUCCGCGUCUUGAGACAAGUAGUGAGGUGCUACGACAAGUUUGUUGAAGAUGUGGUUUACGUGCAUAUUAAAUAAAGAUUUGAAUCACCUGAACGGACGUGCAGUCGUUAUCUUGUUGACAAAUUAACGUCAGAGUAUCUGGGAAGGGGAUUUUGGCGAAUUCAUACGAAAUUUCUUUGAAUAAUAUUGCAAGGCGUAUAGUGAUGGAAAAGCGGGUCACAACGACAAUGACACUUGUGCGCAUGGCCGAUAGACGGCAUGUAAUCGGUGCGCACUGCGCGUAUCUCCAUCUCGUCUAGCGCCUCAAUCAGCAGUGGCAGCGGCGAGAGUUUCCGGAAAUGAAACUUGCAACAGGACAAAGCCAGAGCCCGUGCACUCCCUUGUAAUGCUAGGCCUAGGUUGUAGGGCUCGUGGCACUCUUAGAAACCUGCGUACCGUUGAUAGAAAAAAAAACGCAUAAAGCGGGCCGUGACAAUAUGAUCAUAUCAACGUAAAUUGCAUAAAGUUCGGCUUCGGUGGCCGUAGUUUGUGGUGUAAAAGAAAAAGAAAAAUUGAAAUUGAAAAAAAAAAUGAAUUCAGCAAUAGCGGUCGACGAGUUUCAGGUCGGUCGGGAAUGUGCCUGAGUCUGAGAUGGACGCUACGAAAGCGACUUCCGUUAACUAAUUAAAAGGGAGUUAUUACUCGCGGUGUGCUCUGUAAAAAUGUUGAAUUUACAAGUGAAUGUUUACCUUUGACGACCGCCUGAACAGUGUGUGUGGGUAUUUUUCGUUAUCUAGAAAACUCGACGCUUCAACGCGGUGCAUCCGAUGCAUUGUUGGUGAGUGACUUGACGCAGUGACAUGUUGAGAACGGCUAGUGGGUGACCUCUCGCUACGGCUUUUGUACGACUGUUCCGUACCCUGGGUGUAACGUUUUUUUUAUUAAAUAGGAUAAUAUUAACAUAAGGUGGGAGUGCCGUUGAUACCUUAUUGUUUUAAACAAAAAUCGUAACUACUCUUGCCUUCUGGUACGAUUGUGGUUUCAUCGCCCGCUCUACCGUGCGCGCGGUGCUGGAAUGAAAAUCUCCGUGUCUCGUAUUGUAGAUAUUCGAAAAACCUUUCGGAGACCCACGAGCAACCGAUUGAACAAUAAAAUCUCGGAACACAUAUCGGCAUCGGUAACACCCCUCCAUGUUUGUCUGGAGGAACAAAGAGGACCAGAACUGGGCUCGUGUGACCACACGGAUCGGAAGCCCCAGGUUAAGGGUGCUGGAGACGGUGGUGGAACAAGAGGACGAGGAGGAGGAGGGCGGGAGGCUGAGACCGAGGGCGGUGGGGAGGCUGAGUUAAGGCAGAGCCAGCUGAGCAUGGCAAAUACCAUCAGCAACAUGAAGAUGACCAACCCUAUAAAAGGGCUAGUCAGCAAACGCCGGAAACGUUUUACAAAAGAUGGCUUUGACCUUGAUCUCACAUAUAUAAAGGAUAACCUCAUCGCUAUGGGUUUCCCUGCUGAAAAGCUAGAAGGAGUUUACAGAAAUCAUAUCGAUGAUGUUGUCAAAUUCCUCGAAUCAAAGCAUAAGGAUCACUAUAAAAUUUACAAUCUUUGCUCCGAAAGGUCAUACGAUGGUAAGAAGUUCAAACUACGAGUGGCUACUUAUGCAUUUGAUGACCAUAAUCCACCAAUGCUAUCACAAAUCAGGCCAUUCUGCGACGACGUUCAUUCUUGGUUAUCUCAGGACAGAGAAAACGUGGCAGUUGUUCACUGUAAGGCAGGCAAGGGUCGUACAGGUGUCAUGGUAUGCUGCUACCUCUUACACAGCAAACAGUUUAGUACAGCUACAGAAGCCCUGAACUUUUAUGGAACCAAGAGAACGCACGAUAGAAAAGGAGUAACAAUACCAUCGCAAAGGAGAUAUGUGGGCUACUAUGCGUCGCUUAUACAGGAGGAGCUCAUCUAUGAACCUGUUAAUCUAAUAUUGCAGCAAAUCCGAUUGGAUCCUGUUCCAAUAUUCAACGGAGGCCAGGGAUAUCUUUCUUUCGUUAUAUCUGCGUCCAACGAGAAGAUUUUCAUUUCGGAUGUCUACGAAGUGAGGAAAGGAAUGCAUUCCAUAUGCAUCCCAUUUAAACAUAGCAUUUCACUCUGUGGGGACAUUCGAAUAGACUUUUUUCAAAGGCCAAAAAUGAAGCGGAAAGAAAAAAUGUUCCACUUCUGGUUCAACACAUUCUUUGUGCGUGAACACGCAGCCACCGAGUACGACAAUGGCGAUGUACCAGUGGAAAGAUCGCAGAGGGCAUUGAGCUACGAUGGUACUGCUAUGGAAUUGCCAAUGGUUACAGCUCACUCUAGACCAAGAACAGGUUCGUUAGCUAGCCUCGGUCCUAUGCCGCCAUCCCUCGUUUUGAACAUCGACAAGGCUGGUUUGGAUGAUGCUCACAAAGACAAGCAUCACAAGUUGUAUAGUGCCGACUUUAAAGUGAGCUUGUUGAUGCAACGAGUCGCUAGUAGUAUGCAGUCAUCGGUGCCGGAUGCAGUGAACAGAUCAAGUGUUCCGAUUAGGGUGGGAAUCGAUGACCCGGAGACACCGAGCGAAUCUAGUGACGGUUCGAGCAGUGAGUGCGAUACAACAGGCGAUGAAGAGGGCUGGGAGUCGGUGGAUUUGGAUCAACGAGUCGGACGGUACCGUCUUCUCUCCGAUGGAGGGAUGAUAGAUCUUUUGUGAACUCUGCAUCCUCCCCCUGCAUUUCUCUUCGAGCUACAGUACUGUUCAUGGGCAUAAAUAUCGUGUCACAGAUUAACGUGGGUAGCGUAGCACAAGCAACCAACAAUCAUUGAUCUACCUUUGUCCUUUAUAAGUAGAGGGUGGGCGUUCGCAAUUUCAAUUGAAUCUUAUAAUGCUGUGUCCGUUGCUGACGCUGUCUGUCUAUUUUUUUCUGUGGUUUAGUUAUACCAUUUAUCAUUUUCACCAUUUUCCAUGAAAGCAUACUGUGAAAAAGAGAAACGAAAAAUCAAGCUUACGCGCUUCUUGCGUCUUCAUCGCGCAUGCCACACUAGAUUUUUUAUUCGUAGGUUUACUGUGUUUUUGUACAAAAGAGUUUUGAAAAAACUGGUGCACAGAGUCAGCAUCGACCCGAUCUUAUGGGUUUUCAAAUAACGAAUAGAUAUGUUGAGAUAGAUGAACUACUGCUAUCAAUAGAAUAUUCGAUGCUCCCAAUGACUCUGCAUUUUAGUGUAUGUCGAGUAGGCAUUGAAGUGGGAGAGUAGUAAAGUAAUCAGGACAAGCUCAAAUAUCGAAGACGAAUUCGGAUAUGAUAAUUAUCGUAGUUACGGGUAUUGAAAAAAAUCAAAUUCAUUAGGUGGAUGUAAGAUAUAUUUUAUACUUUCUAAUUUUCCGAUCAUAAAUCUUAAGUAGUAUUCAGACUGAUAAGAUUUGCCGAUCGCAAAGUUGAACUUGAAAAACAUGAUGAUACUUUCCUCAUUCAAAAUCUACUCAAAUUACCACAACUCAUUUAUAAUAGACACGACCCCUUACCUUUUGCAGUUAUGGACAUAUUUGAAAUUCAAAUACUGAACACAGGUUCAACUAAAUUCUGAAUUUUUAAAAAUUUCGCAAUUAUAUUUUAUCUGAUUCCUAAAAGAGCAAUACUUGUCUGUUCAAAUCCAUAGAUUUCAUUUACUGUGAAUCUGGAAUUAAGGCAAAAGAUUUUGCAUAGUUACAAAUAUUGGACUGUGUGCAAUUGAAUCGUCGAUAAAAUCGUUAAGUAACGCAAGAAUUUGAUUAAGAAUUGAGCAGCAUUACAACAAAGAACACAUUUUUAUAUAAGAUGGAGUGGUGGGAGAAGUACAUUAAAAAGAAAAUACUAUAUUUUCGUAAGGAAUAAAUAAUUGUAAGUCAAUAAUAAAUGUAGUAAAAGCGUCGUACCUCUCCGCCUCUUGGCUCAGAAUUAGUAUGUACGCAUAUCGAUCUCACUUACACCCACUUACCUUAGAAUCUGACAAUGAGUGUAAGAGGGAUACAGAAUGUAAUACUUGCUUAGUUCAUAGAGCUAAAUAUCCACUGAAUUGUAGAUUUGAUUAAUGCCGAAUGCAUUUAAUAACCACGUCAGUUGGAAGCUCAAAGCUGAACGCGUUUAAUGGUAGUAUGUUCAAAACUAGUAAUUGGCAAAGACAAGUAAUUGACAAAGAAUGAUUAAUUGUGAAACAUAUUUUACAUUUCCCAAAUCUGAAUUUGUCAAUUGACAUUAAGUGAUUUGAAUUUUGUCAACACCUGAUGAACUGAAUUCUUCAAUUUUUUAUAUACCCUGUAAGGACCUAAUAUGUGUUAGCUGUGUGUUUCACUCGCAGGAUAUCUAUUAUAGAUUUUCAUUAGUUUGAGAAGAUUAAUUACCACGGUCGCUAGUGAGACCAAUUAGAAUACAUUUUGUGUCAUUAAAUUUAUCGGAAAGUAAAUUCACUGUUUAUCUAGCUCUAUGAGUCGUUCUUAAAGCAUUUAAUGUAACAUAGAGUAUAAAGCAUGCAAUACCAGGUCGAAACCGAGCUUAACCAUUGUAGCCUAUUUGGUUGCGAAAUUAUCUGACGCGUUUGGCUUUUUAUUUUAUUUUUCUUUAUAUUCAUUACAUAGUUCACGCUGUUACGUAUCCUGUGAUUUUUGGCAUUCAGUGUUUCAUCGCAAUUCUGUUACAUAAUAAUGGAAAUCUUUUGACAUAAUUCUUUUAUACUAUUUAUAAGUUUGUAAAAAUUUCAUACAACUGUCAAAACUUGACCAAUAUACGAAUUAGAAUUACAGGUUUCAUUAAAUAGGAUAAUCUAUUUCAUAAUUAUCAAUGAUUUAAUACCUGGUGGUGACCUUCGAAGUGUUGGUCGAUCAAUUAAUGUGAGACUUGCCAAGAAUUAAAUCCGAUGACGCCCGAGUCACCUCAAAUAACAGUAGGCUCAAUAAUUCUUAGGCGCAGUUAUAAUUUGUCGAAUGGUAUUGACGUAUCAAUUAGGUAUUACAAUUACACGAAUGAAAUUGAACAUCUUCAUCCAAAUGCAAAUUCAAGUCGUUAGGAAUUAAUUUUUAGUUAGUUUCACACUGCAAAUUGAUGUAGGUAUACGCUCAUGGUUCAUCGAUCAGUAUAGUUUGAUUAAAUGUCAUUUUAUCAGUUGGUAUUUCCCUUGGCACUAGCAUGAAUUUUUUUUCAAUGGAGCGGUCCUAUUCGAUCAAAAACGAUUGCAAAUGCGCUGAAACCGUACCAAAUGCUGAGAAAAUGACAAAUCUACUCACCGAAAUUUGAUCAGACCGCUCUUCAACUAUGCUUUACAGUAAGAGAAGCAGAAAAAAUAUUUCUGUUAUAAAGAAGAACGGUCUCAUCAACUGUAAUAGUUAUUACUUACAAAUGAGAAUCAUUGUUCAUACAAUUUCUACUAUUCAAGUACCUAAAUGUUGAUAGAAUUUAACAGUUCUUAUAUAAAAGUAUGAAUUGAUAUGCAUUAGUUAUUGAGAAAUAAAUGUUACUAUGCAGUUUAUAUAAUUAUGUUUAAUAAUAUACUGAAGCAGAUACCUUUCCUACACUUUGCACUAAGUUGUGCAAAAGUUGAACCCUAUAUGUACGAACGUUUGAAACAAAUUGAAUUAAGGUGAAUCAAAAUCAAUCAUCGGAAAACUGAAAACAGAUCACUAAAUUGACAACUAUCGUUCUUGCAUCGAAAUUAUUUUACGGUAUUCGAGAUAGGUAAUAAAUAUAGUUGUUUCUAGGAAUAAUAACAACUAUGCCUCGUAACGAAACGUCAACCUUGAUUACACUGUAAUUAUUUUCAUGCUCACUGGAAGAUACGUUUGACAAAUGAUAUUAUUUUGGGAGUCGACGUACUUGUGACUUUGAGACAUGACUGAUGGCGGGCCAAUCAGAGUUUAUUCCUCACAUACGAUUGUUCAACCCCAGACUGCAACGCACCAACUGCUUGACUACCAAUCGAUCAAUCAAUCGACAAAUCAACCAUCGCAUCUUGCCUGACACCUGUUACGCAUGCAUGCUCUCCUACUCACCGGUACAAGCUGACAUUGCAUUGUUACAUUCAUUAUUUUUAUAUUAUAGAAAAUCAUUUAAAUUAUUUAGAUGCGACUCUUUCAUUUGCAUUUCUUUUGAAAAUUAUUAUUAUUUCAAUUUUAUGUGAGGCUAAUGCAAGAGAGUUACGAGUUAGAAUCUGGGACUGGAAAUUGAAUUUGCGUUGAAUUUCUUUCCAGUCGGUUCAUUUUGUAGCAUAUAUUUAAUUAUACAAAAUUUUCUAUUGUAUUCUGUGCAAAGAUCUUUCAUAUACCAACACACUACUCGAUACACUCUUUGUUCGAAUCCAUAACACAUGCAAAUGUACAAGUUUGAAAAUUCCAGUGUCACAUGAAACUGGUGGAGAAAUAACUCUUUGUUGGAGAGAGAAAUUUUUUAUUAAUCAAAGGCGUCGUCUAGCAUCGCCCAUUUUUCAUUCCGGUAAUAAUGAAUAUCAUCUUUCCGAAUUGUAUUAAUUGGCUAUAUACUACAUGAUGAACCCCCUCAUAGUGCUUUUCGCUAUGAAAAAGCAAAAGUCACGGUAGAUCCAGAAAUUAAUAUAAGAUUACACAUCAAGAUGUAAUUUUAGAAUACUUUGUGUAUAAAAUUUUUCCGUUAUAAGAUUUUAACAAUAGACUUCUUCAGCAGCAGAUGGAUGGACUUUGAAGUCACCAUGCAUUGAAACAUGAUCUCUUGGUUUCUAGAUAAUAAAUGAGGAAAGUAUAUCUCUAUAUGUCUGGUGGUAAAUAACUGACAACAAACGAGGGAUAUCGCUUUCCGAGUUAUAAACAGCUAGUGGCUCCUUGGAGCAAUAUUAUUUAUUUAUUUAUAAAAAUCAAGGCACAAAUCGUCAAGGUGAUCUACAAUACUGGGUUGCUGGUUUAAUGGCAUCAACGUGUAUCGCUAUAGUUUAUAGAACAUGCAAGGAAAGUCAAGAUAUUUAAUAACUAAAUUUUUAACAGCAAUUAAUGAAAAGAAUAUAGAAUCAGAUCUAUAGAAGUUCGAAACAUAUAAGUUUGUUGCAUUAAAUCUUUUUUCAAAUUGUAUUCCACGGAUAAUCUUGAGAAAUUAGAAUUACCCAAUUAGAAUUACGAAGAAUAUUAACGAAGUUGUCCGUUUUUAUUCAACUAUUGACUAAAGAAAAAAAUAAAUUAGACAAUAAUGCGAUACAUUUUCAGUGGCGCGAUGAAAAUAUGAAAAAUAUUAAAGUUUGGAGUAUUAUAUUCAUGGCUAAAUCACAAUGUGUGCAAUGGUAUUAUAAACAUCCAAAUAUUUUUUUUCUCUGUCUUUUGAGUAGCAAUUUGGCUUUCAAAAUUCGCAUUUUCAAAUCAGUACGGUAAUAUCUUACUCUCCUAAACUGAUUCUCACAUGUUAUAUGAAACCACUUCGCUAAACGUACCUAUUUUUUUUUUUUUUUUUUUUAAUUUUAAUUCUGAACAAAAGUUUUAUUCCAAUUGACUCACGAUCGCACAAUUGUGUACAUUUGUAUAAUGGCGAUUGAAUUUUUUGUUUUCAAACGUUACUUGAAAUAGCAUUCAUAUUUCGAAUGUUAAUGGAGUUGAGUUACUGAUUUUAUCUACCACGUAACGCGGCAGGAUCAAGUUCAUUUUAUAUUUACUCCCAAAAACUGAAUAAUUUCCAAAAUCUAUGAAGAUGUAUAAUUUCUAUUUUACGAUACCUGACUCUAGUUUAUGACGUAAUUGUGCUUCUAACAAUCUUUAGUAAUGCUUGAACAGUACACUCAAACAUGAUUAAUAGUGCCGUUUCCAUUGUGUCAGCCUUUAAGUUAAUAAUUAAAUUUACAGUAUUUAGUGCCUAAUGUGCUUUUUACUUGUUGAAGUAAGCCAAAAUUUUGCUGAUAAUCAAGCAACUCAUUCACUGUUACUCAAAUUGUUAAUACGCCAUCGAUGAUGUUAGUUGAAAUUUAUUAAUUUUGUCUUACUUUACUAUAAUUUUUACUAUAAUUAACCAAGAUGUUAUUUUUUUGCAGAUUCGUUCAUUAAUUUUAGUAAAUCUUGAAAAAGCUUUACUUCAGUAAUGAGAAAAUUCCUCAGCUCAGUUACAAUAUUACUGAUGAAUUGAAUCUAUGAUAAUGGUUCGUCACCCUGCAUUUGUUUUUGUUAUGCUAUAAUUAUAUUUUAAUAUGGAUUACUCAUGUGUCUCCACAAUCAUCGUAGCCAUAUCGUCAUUUAAUUUUCAAGCUACUGAUUUGUAAAUUCAUAUUAUUAACGAAUCAGAGCUGUGAAUCGAGUAUUUAUACAUAAUAUGAAUUACCUGAUUUGAUUUUACCAUAUUGUUCAAUUCAACC